rfam:Picea glauca, whole genome shotgun sequence.
UCAUAUGUACAUGCCUAAAAUGUUAAUGCAUUGGAUCCCAUUAGAAAUCCAUAGUUAAGUGUGCUUGGGCUUGGGCAGUAAUGGGAUGGGUGAACUCCAGGGAAGUCCUAGUGUUUUACAUGCC